CCUACGGGUGGCAGCAGUGGGGAAUAUUGGGCAAUGGAGGCAACUCUGACCCAGCAAUGCCGCGUGAGUGAUGAAGGUAAUUUUAUUGUACAGCUCUUUUCUUUGGAACGAAUAAAUGACGGUACCAAAGGAAUAAGCCCCGGCUAACUACGUGACAGCAGCCGCGGUAAUACGUAGGGGGCAAGCGGUGUUCGGGAUGACUUGGCGUCAAGGGUGUGUAGGUGGUUGGAUAAGUUAGAUGUGUAAUACCCAGGGCUUACCUCGGGUGCUGCAUCUAAAACGGUUGGACGUGAGUACAGGAGAGGAUAGUGGAAUUCCUAGUGUAGCGGUGGAAGGCGUAGAUAGUAGGAGGAAAAUCAGUGGCGAAGGCGACUAUCUGGACAGCAACUGACGCUGAGGCACGAAAGCGUGGGGAGCAAACAGGAUUAGAUACCCUUGUAGUC
rnacentral:rRNA from 1 species